rnacentral:rRNA from 1 species
GACGAACGCUGGCGGCGUGCUUAACACAUGCAAGUCGAACGGAAAGGCCCUGCUUUUGUGGGGUGCUCGAGUGGCGAACGGGUGAGUAACACGUGAGUAACCUGCCAUUGACUUUGGGAUAACUUCAGGAAACUGGGGCUAAUACCGGAUAGGAGCUCCUGCUGCAUGGUGGGGGUUGGAAAGUUUCGGCGGUUGGGGAUGGACUCGCGGCCUAUCAGCUUGUUGGUGGGGUAGUGGCUUACCAAGGCUUUGACGGGUAGCCGGCCUGCGAGGGGGACCGGCCACAUUGGGACUGGGAUACGGCCCAGACUCCUAUGGGAGGCAGCAGUGGGGAAUAGUGCACAAUGGGCGGAAGCCUGAUGCAGCAACGCCGCGUGCGGGAUGACGGCCUUCGGGUUGUAAACCGCUUUCGCCUGUGACGAAGCGUGAGUGACGGUAAUGGGUAAAGAAGCACCGGCUAACUACGUG